CGGACUGGGUGAGUAACGCGUGAGGAACCUGCCUUUCGAGGGGGACAACAGUUGGAAACGACUGCUAAUACCGCAUGAUACAUUUGGGCCGCAUGGUCUGAAUGUCAAAGAUUUAUCGCCGAAAGAUGGCCUCGCGUCUGAUUAGCUAGUUGGUGGGGUAACGGCCCACCAAGGCGACGAUCAGUAGCCGGCCUGAGAGGGUGAACGGCCACAUUGGGACUGAGACACGGCCCAAACUCCUACGGAAGGCAGCAG
rnacentral:rRNA from 1 species